CAGAGCACUUGGUAAUCUGGCCGGCGAUGUGAGUAUGCAUAUCGACGUAUGCCAUGGAGUUUUCCAAUGACGUAACAUGCAUGGAGUCUGCAGGCCGGCCGGGAGUAUCUAGUACGGAGUAUACAGAAUGUUGUAUCAACACAAGGAUGGAGUAUAUUGUAUGUACUGAAUAUUGACAACAGAUGUAUGAAGUACGUAGGAUAGAGUAUAUAGUAUGGAGAAUAUAGCAUGGAGUAUGUAGAAUGGAGUAUGUACAAUGGAGUAUGUAGUAUGGAGAAUAUUGUAAGGAGCAUGUAGUAUAUAGGAUCAACGAUGAUCGAGCAAAUCUGCUACUACAGUAGGUACUUUCUUUUUUCGUUUUAGUAGAAUCCAAUAGGCAGUAACUAAUUGAUUUUCUAAUUAAAUAGUCUA